rnacentral:rRNA from 1 species
UACGUAGGGGGCGAGCGUUGUCCGGAAUCAUUGGGCGUAAAGCGCGUGUAGGCGGCCCGGUAAGUCCGCUGUGAAAGUCCAGGGCUCAACCCUGGGAUGCCGGUGGAUACUGUCGGGCUCGAGUCCGGAAGAGGCGAGUGGAAUUCCUGGUGUAGCGGUGAAAUGCGCAGAUAUCAGGAGGAACACCAAUAGCGAAGGCAGCUCGCUGGGACGUUACUGACACUAAGGCGCGAAAGCGUGGGGAGCGAACAGG